rnacentral:rRNA from 1 species
UACGUAGGUGGCAAGCGUUGUCCGGAUUUACUGGGUGUAAAGGGCGUGUAGCCGGGGAGACAAGUCAGAUGUGAAAUCUGGAGGCUCAACCUCCAAACUGCAUUUGAAACUGUUUCUCUUGAGUAUCGGAGAGGUAAUCGGUAUUCCUAGUGUAGCGGUGAAAUGCGUAGAUAUUAGGAAGAACACCAGUGGCGAAGGCGGAUUACUGGACGACAACUGACGGUGAGGCGCGAAAGCGUGGGGAGCAAACAGG